rnacentral:rRNA from 1 species
UACAGAGGUCUCAAGCGUUGUUCGGAUUCAUUGGGCGUAAAGGGUGCGUAGGCGGCGCGGUAAGUCGGGUGUGAAAUCUCGGAGCUUAACUCCGAAACUGCAUUCGAUACUGCCGUGCUUGAGGACUGGAGAGGAGACUGGAAUUUACGGUGUAGCGGUGAAAUGCGUAGAUAUCGUAAGGAAGACCAGUGGCGAAGGCGGGUCCCUGGACAGUUCCUGACGCUGAGGCACGAAGGUCAGGGGAGCAAACGGG